UCGGCCGGCCUUCCACUCACACUUUGAAUUUUCUGGGGCUUGCAGUCUCCGCUUGCCCCAGGGGUUAGGUCCCAGCAGAGCUUGCAGGUUCCGCUUGCCCCUCCCUACACCCCAAUCCCGUUCCCCUCGCGCCUCGCCUCCCUGACCCCCUUGCCAGCGAAGACUAUGAGCACUCCUGGGUCGACGUCGAGGGGACCCUAGCACUAGACGCUCCUGGGACCUUCCCCCGUCCCUGUCUCAGUGCCGUCCACAAGAUUUGGUCAGCAGGGCUCACCCCGGAACCCCCUGCCCCUCCGCUCCCUGACUAUCCCCCUUCCCCAGUGAGAAUAGCUUCUGCGUGAGGGCUGAGUGUAAGUGAGUGGUGGGAGAAUUCCCCCUUGCCUCCUAGCCGCUCCGCCCACCAGGGAAUGGCUUCGGCUAAGGGAUGCGUGAGUGUAUUACUCUAGCUGCCUCGCCCGCCCGCGCAGACUACCUGCCCCUGUGCUCUCCGGCAGCAGGUUGACGACCUCCCUUCUCAGGAACCUCCUGAGCCGAGACUGAGCCGCGACAACUAGAGCCUUUCAGCACGUCCUGUGUCACAGACCCUGGGAAGCAAGGGCCCUUCGCUGACCGCCUGGUGCCGGACUAUACAGCAACUCGGGGCAGGGAUACAAUUACCAUGUGGGAGUCUAGGAGCAGUGGGGGCAGUGCCUGGCUGAACAAGGAACAAGAAAUACGGGCUACAGCAAUUUGCGGCAGGGGUACAAGGGAUCCCUCGCAGUCCCUCGAAGUCUCACGCAGUUUUACCUGAA